rnacentral:tRNA from 1 species
AUAGCUCAGGGGUACAGCAUUUGCCUAGAACGCAUGAGGUCCUGGGUUUGAUCCCCAGU